rnacentral:rRNA from 1 species
AGCAGUCGCCGCGGGAAUACGAAGGGUGCAAGCGUUACUCGGAAUUACUGGGCGUAAAGCGUGCGUAGGUGGUGGUUUAAGUCCGUUGUGAAAGCCCUGGGCUCAACCUGGGAAUUGCAGUGGAUACUGGGUCACUAGAGUGUGGUAGAGGAUAGUGGAAUUUCCGGUGUAGCAGUGAAAUGCGUAGAGAUCGGAAGGAACAUCUGUGGCGAAGGCGACUAUCUGGGCCAACACUGACACUGAGGCACGAAAGCGUGGGGAGCAAACAGGAUUAGAUACCCCUGUAGUCCCUGUCUCUUAUAA